rnacentral:rRNA from 1 species
GACGAACGUUAGCGGCGCGCCUAACACAUGCAAGUCGCACGAGAAAGGGCUUCGGCCCCGGUAAAGUGGCGCACGGGUGAGUAACACGUGGGUAAUCUGCCCUCGCGCGGGGGAUAACGGUCCGAAAGGACCGCUAAUACCACAUAAGACCACGACCUCGAAAGAGGAUGCGGUCAAAGCUGGCCUCUAUUCAUAAGCUAGCACUUGAGGAUGAGCCCGCGGCGCAUCAGAUAGUUGGUGAGGUAAUGGCCCACCAAGGCUAAGACGCGUAGGUGGUCUGAGAGGAUGAUCAGCCCCACGGGAACUGGGACACGGUCCAGCCUCCUGAGGGAGGCAGCAGUGGGGAAUCUUGCGCAAUGAGCGAAAGCCUGACGCAGUGACGCCGCGGGAGUGAUGAAGGCCUUCGGGUUGUAAAGCUCUGUGGGGAGAGACGAAUAAGUGCAAGCUAAUACCUUGCAUGAUGACGGUAUCUCCUUAGCAAGCACCGGCUAACUCUGUGCCAGCCGCCGCGGUAAGAC